rnacentral:rRNA from 1 species
GUUGAACGCUGGCGGCAUGCUUUACACAUGCAAGUCGAACGGUAACAGGCCGCAAGGUGCUGACGAGUGGCGAACGGGUGAGUAAUGCAUCGGAACGUGCCCAGUCGUGGGGGAUAACGCAGCGAAAGCUGCGCUAAUACCGCAUACGAUCUAUGGAUGAAAGCGGGGGACCGUAAGGCCUCGCGCGAUUGGAGCGGCCGAUGUCAGAUUAGGUAGUUGGUGGGGUAAAGGCUCACCAAGCCAACGAUCUGUAGCUGGUCUGAGAGGACGACCAGCGACACUGGGACUGAGACACGGCCCAGACUCCUACGGGAGGCAGCAGUGGGGAAUUUUGGACAAUGGGCGCAAGCCUGAUCCAGCAAUGCCGCGUGCAGGAAGAAGGCCUUCGGGUUGUAAACUGCUUUUGUACGGAACGAAACGGUCCUGGUUAAUACCUGGGGCUAACGACGGUACCGUAAGAAUAAGCACCGGCUAACUACGUGCCAGCAGCCGCGGUAACAC